rnacentral:lncRNA from 1 species
CAGCGAUAAAAGUGAUGAACAACUUUUUAAAUCAUAAAGGAUAGUAGAUUCUAUUCUCUACUUGACUCUUUUAAUGGAUUGCUUGAUCCGCUGCAGUUAAACUUGAUGUUGUUAUAUUUUAUCAGUUUAACACUGUUGAAGGCUAACGAUAAUUUAUUCUGCAUUAUCUUAGUCAUAAUAUUUCUUACUGGGCUAGUUGAGCUCACCCUUUCUUUCACUGUUCUCUUCAGAAAAUGAGAACAUAGCAGGGACUAGUCGGGGAACGGAGUGACGGUCCAGAGGAUAGCAUUAGUAGUCCUCACUAUUCUGUGAAAUAGUGUGUUAAUAAUUGUAAUGAGGACUCCUUUUGAAUUUGUAUAAUCUCUAGUAGACAAUAAUUGUAUUCAAAC